UACGUAGGGGGCGAGCGUUGUCCGGAAUCAUUGGGCGUAAAGCGCGUGUAGGCGGCCCGGUAAGUCCGCUGUGAAAGUCCAGGGCUCAACCCUGGGAUGCCGGUGGAUACUGUCGGGCUCGAGUCCGGAAGAGGCGAGUGGAAUUCCUGGUGUAGCGGUGAAAUGCGCAGAUAUCAGGAGGAACACCAAUUGCGAAGGCAGCUCGCUGGGACGUGACUGACGCUGAGACGCGAAAGCGUGGGGAGCAAACAGG
rnacentral:rRNA from 1 species